UACGGAGGAUCCGAGCGUUAUCCGGAUUUAUUGGGUUUAAAGGGUGCGUAGGCGGCCUAUUAAGUCAGGGGUGAAAGACGGUAGCUUAACUAUCGCAGUGCCUUUGAUACUGAUAGGCUUGAAUGUACUUGAGGUAGGCGGGAUGUGACAAGUAGCGGUGAAAUGCAUAGAUAUGUCACAGAACACCAAUUGCGAAGGCAGCUUACUAAAGUAUGAUUGACGCUGAGGCACGAAAGCGUGGGGAUCAAACAGG
rnacentral:rRNA from 1 species